CAGCCACCUCGGAGACUCGGGAAUGAAGGGAAGACCCACAAGGAGGAACGCACAAGGCACUAAUCCUGCACAAACAUGCAAAUGUUGUGCUGAUUUUUCUUGGACAAUGGUCAUGCCAUUCCAUAUGCAGCUCUCUCCAACCUGGUUUGAGGCUGCAAGGCCUCCUCGGAGAUCCUUUGGUGCUAUUUCAGAUAUGAACACAGCAUGAAAAGUCGGGUGCAUGUUGAGAGUUAAGAGGGAGAUGCUCACCACAUAAGAAAGGACCCCUGUACAGUAGCCCAGCAAGACUCGUCCCAAGCAGAGCAUCGCUGCACCCUUCAUGUCAUGAAGGCAGUUUUUC